rnacentral:rRNA from 1 species
GAUCGGAGUCUGCAACCCGACUCCGUGAAGCUGGAUUCGCUAGUAAUCGCGCAUCAGCCAUGGCGCGGUGAAUACGUUCCCGGGCCUUGUACACACCGCCCGUCAAGCCAUGGGAGCCGGGGGUGCUUGAAGUGCGUCGCCGCAAGGCGCGCCCUAGAGCAAAACCGGUGACUGGGGCUAAGUCGUAACAAGGUACC